CCGCCCCCUGGGGGGAGGCGUCUCAAGGGCAGAAGGGAAGGCGGACUCGGGAGGUGGCUCUGCUGAACAGGGGAGCUGCAGAAUGCACUCAGAAGCAACCCUCCGGGCUGUUCCCAAGACCCCAGUUCCUUCCCUGCUGCAGACCCAAGCAUCUCUAAGGGCAGCAGCACGUAAGUCAUACAUCAGUUAUCCAGAGAUACACAGAGGUGGCCAACUGUGUCAGAAUUUGGAUUCCAUCCUCAUCAAUGCAGCACCUGGGAGAACCUAAGUCAUUUCCCUGAGUAGGCGCAGACUGAGACCGCCAGCUCCCUGGGACUCAGCAUCUGCCUUGAGAGCACCACCUUUCAGUCCUGCUGGACCAAUGCAGGGAGCAGUGCCCACUCCAAAAUAUUUACUCGGUGCCCCUCAAGCAGCAACAUUCCUCCAAGUACUACCUUUAGACAUUUCUUUUUUAUUGGCUCCUUUUAACAGCUCCCUCUCUCCCAGCUUCUCUCCCAGUCCCCAAAGUUUACAAGCUCUUCUGUCUUCUCUAAUCAGUCUGAGUAUACCCCUUCCUUCUCUGCAAGGGAAUUUGCUUUGGGCUUUGUGAGUUUCUGAUGCGCUACAGACUACCUGUUAGGAGACCCAGGUGAGUGGUACUUUAGUGCCUCACUGAGCCAACACUGGCACUCCUCUAGUUGAUGAGAAGACAAUAAUGCUGGUUGGCAUCAUACACUUGAUGGCUUCUCCCACCCAGCACCUACCAAGGGGAGCAUGCCAGCUGACAUGACCCAGGGGAGAGUGAAUCGCAAGCAAACCACAGAGAAAAUAUUACUUAGUGCUUCAUCAGUUCUGCUCUCAGCAUGGGAUUUAUUGGCUGAAGCAAAACCCUGUAGUUAUAUGCUCACUGGUGGCCAAUAAAUGAUGAUCAGCAUUUGGCAUAGGAACCUUUUAUUCUCACCAUACCAGGUCUAUGUUUUUGAACAUAGGCAGUACCUGAGAUGAUAGUGUAACACUACCCUGUUCCCCACACUUUUUUGCUUUUCUUUAGGAAAUAGUUGAGUCCUUAUCAUAGGCACUUUUAACCUGUUAUAAGGUAAUGAAGCAAACACAAUGUCUAAUGAAAAUCACUGAGAUGAAUUUAAAAAUAUGCUAACAGAAAAGGAUACUGGGUGGGUGUAUCUACCAGUUUAGUUUAAGUCUGACUCCCACUCCUACACACACAUUCUCUCACCCCUUUCUUUUGGAACUAAGACCAUCUCCUUACCCAGGUAACUACUGUAAAAUCUUGGGGAAGUCAGGUAUUAUCUGGACACAAAAUAGUUUUGAAGAGAAAAGGUCUCAACUGGACG